CCCCCCAGCGGCGGGAGGGCGCGAUAGGGCCCUGUAGAGAGAGCCCCUGGGCUGGCCUCCCCGCCCCCUUGCCCCUAGGCACGGGGUGAACGUCAGACCGUCACAAGGGCCAGACUGGGUCAGAGCCAGGGUCCAUCCAGACCAGUGUCCUGUCCGGCCAGGGCCAGGUGCCCCCGCGGGCAUGAAUGGGGCAGGGAGUCCUCGAGUGAUCCGUCCCCCGUUGCGCAUUCCCAGCUCUGGCAAGCAGAGGCUCGGGACACCCUGCCUGCCCAUCCUGGCUAAUAGCCAUCGAUGGACCUGGCCUCCAUGAACUUGUCUAGUUCUUUUUUUAACGGUUAUAGUCAGAUGACCCUGCUGAUCAUCAGCUUGUGGGGCCCUUGGCAGGGGAGAUGACAGCGGAAGAGGGAGAGUGACCGCUUGUGGGGGGAGAUCAUAGAAUCAUAGAAUAUCAGGGUUGGAAGGGACCCCUGAAGGUCAUCUAGUCCAACCCCCUGCUCGAAGCAGGACCAAUUCCCAGUUAAAUCAUCCCAGCCAGGGCUUUGUCAAGCCUGACCUUAAAAACCUCUAAGGAAGGAGAUUCUACCACCUCCCUAGGUAACGCAUUCCAGUGUUUCACCACCCUCUUAGUGAAAAAGUUUUUCCUAAUAUCCAAUCUAAACCUCCCCCACUGCAACUUGAGACCAUUACUCCUCUUCUGUCAUCUGCUACCAUUGAGAACAGUCUAGAGCCAUCCUCUUUGGAUCCACCUUUCAGGGAUACCAGAAAGGGAACAGGGAUGCUACAACAGGAUCAGGACCACAGCUGGAACCAGAACAGAAGAGGACAACAACCAGGAACACAACAGACUGGACGAUGAGGAUUAGGAACAGGAUCAGGACCACACUUGGGAACAGCAACAAGGUGUUUAGCCAGCACAUUGUGAAGAAACUAUUCAAGUUAAGUGGCUCAUAAAAAGGACACCUAACUCACAAUGGAAGACGCCCAUCUACACUGAAUGGACGGAUCUGUGAAUGUUCUGUCGGGUAUUGGUAGUGGCUUUUCCUGUGACUAAGUGAAAUCACUCAGGGAUAUGUGACUUGCCCAUGUGACUCCAAACUCCAUCUUUUACCUGUAAUUUUCCACUAGCCAUGCUGAGGGCUUUGUUUGAGACAAUGGAUUUCCUUCCCUCCACAUGGCAGAAGCUAUAAAAGGUGCUGAAAACAUCUCCAUUUUGUCUCUUUCAAGCUCCAGCCUCUUUCCUGCUCAAGCCUCUGGACUAUGGACUUGUACUAAUGGGAGCAUUUUGUGACACUUCCAGUGAUUUGGAAGCAACCAGACUUGACUUCAGCCAGCAGUUUAUUCCAUCACUGCUACAAGACUGAUCCAAGACCUUUGCAAUUAUUGUAUGUAUUUGAUUUCUUUAACCAAUUUUAAUUUAUUU